AGGGAGACAGGACAACACGGAGACACAGAUACACAGGAAACUCGAAAUAAACAGACAGAAAAGCACAGAUCCUGAUAGGCCCACGCUGUUUGCUGGCUGUGGACUGCAUUGCUGACGGUGUUCAGGUGGUAGGGUCACCUGGGUGUGGUUGUUGGACGCCGCAGGUUUGCACCAGAUCGACUACACCAAGGUUUGAUCUGAGAGUGUUGAUUUAUGCAAAGCCGGUAGGCAGUGUUAAUGUUUUAGGUAGAUUUGAUUAAAAUGAUUUAAUAAGCAUUCACAAAGACAUGAAGUCCUGCUCUCAGACUGAACAUGCUCUUGGAUUCCAGCUUGUUCCCAUCUGGGUUCUGCGCUUUAAUCGCCUUUUUGACCUCAUUCUUUCAUUACUAUCAGUUGUUUCAGAAACAUCAGCAUUACAGAUGUGUGCAGUUUUUGGCCCACUUUAAUUGUGUUGUAAUUAAGAAAAGAAAGAAAGUUUUCCCCAGAGGAGUUACUGAGCUGCCAAUUUUAGUAAAUUUUCAGAAUCUAACAGUGGAAAGUAUUUAAUUUGAAGUGAGUGCAGAGAUCAGGUCAGAGAAGAAUAAAUAUCAGAAAAACAUUUGAAGUAGUAAUGAGAUGAAACCUUGAGCUAAUAAAGGACUCGUGACGUGCGCUGGAUGCUCAGCUUCCUUUUGAACCACAGACACGUCAACCAGCCCACCCAAGAUGGCCGACAGCUGACAAGAUGGCUGACAGUUGACUCAUGGCUUGUUUGAAUUUACAUCUUUGGAAAAGUUCAGUUCCUUUUCAUCUCUCUAUAAAUCUGUUUCGAAUAUUGUUUGUACUUUGUACAUGAACUUUAAAAUAUUGUAGUUGAUCAAUUCAUGAAGUUUCAAUAAGUUAAAUUGUAUAAAUAUUAGGUUUCUGCUUCCACAUAUGACUACCAACUCUCGUCUGUAAAC